GCCUGGAAUGAACCGUCGAAGAAGUCAGGGAAGCUCUUGUGUUAGCCAAGGCUGCCAACCAGCCAUCUUACGCGGAAGCCGGGGGAAAGCUCGAGUUGGUCGCAUUGGCGCAAGAAAAGGUGUUUGGUACAUCCUAAACGCAGGGCAUCUUAUUCCUUCACCAUGUCGGAGGGCCGGAUCUAUGUCGGGAAUCUGCCAAUGGAUGUCCAGGAGAGGGACAUUGAAGAUCUCUUCUACAAAUAUGGAAAAAUUCGUGAGAUUGAAUUGAAGAACAACCGAGGCACUAUCCCGUUUGCCUUUAUUCGAUUUGAAGACCCACGGGAUGCGGAUGACGCAGUCUAUGGAAGGAACGGAUAUGGAUAUGGAGACUCCAAACUACGUGUGGAGUAUCCUCGAUCCUCAAGUAAAUUUAAUCCAAUGGGAGGUGGAGGUGGUGGUGGAGAUAGAGGAAGUGGACCCAGAGGACGAUUUGGACCCCCGACACGGAGGUCUGAGUUCCGUGUGAUAGUGACUGGUAGGUGGACAUCUACAGUUGUAGCCCAUUAAUAAUACCCCUUGGAUGUCAAGUGGACCAUUAGGAAGUGGACAUGCAGAGUCUCAGGUGUCUCUUGCCCUCCCAUGGCGGACGACAGCAUAAAGGGACUUGUAGUUAGAAGUCAGGAGCUGCAAGGUAGCUAUAUCUCAUAGCAGAUGGAUGACAAAGGCACUCGUAAGAUGCAAGGCAAGAAUUGUUGACGUGUGUCCUCCUCGGUCUCUAAGUGGCGGACUGGAGGACAAGCGG